rnacentral:rRNA from 1 species
GACGAACGCUGGCGGCGUGCUUAACACAUGCAAGUCGAACGGAAAGGCCCUGCUUUUGUGGGGUGCUCGAGUGGCGAACGGGUGAGUAACACGUGAGUAACCUGCCCUUGACUUUGGGAUAACUUCAGGAAACUGGGGCUAAUACCGGAUAGGAGCUCCUGCUGCAUGGUGGGGGUUGGAAAGUUUCGGCGGUUGGGGAUGGACUCGCGGCUUAUCAGCUUGUUGGUGGGGUAGUGGCUUACCAAGGCUUUGACGGGUAGCCGGCCUGAGAGGGUGACCGGCCACAUUGGGACUGAGAUACGGCCCAGACUCCUACGGGAGGCAGCAGUGGGGAAUAUUGCAAAAUGGGCGGAAGCCUGAUGCAGCAACGCCGCGGGCGGGAUGACGGCCUUCGGGUUGGAAACCGCUUUCGCCUGUGACGAAGCGUGAGUGACGGUAAUGGGUAAAGAAGCACCGGCUAACUACGUG